ACUCUCUCUGUCUCUCGAAACACAAACGGCGCUCGGGCCGCUCCCUCAUCAUACAUCGAUCAAUCCAGUCAUCCGGUCCUCGUCCAGUCGUCCAGUCGUCCUCGUCGUCGUCCAGUCGUCCAGUCGUCCAGUCGUCCUGUCGUCCAGUCGUCCUCGUCCAGUCGUCCUCGUCGCUCCUGUUGCUCAUCCAGUCGUCCUCGGCUCGAUUGUAAUAGAAGAUCGAAACCCAGACGACCUCCGUCGAAACCCAGACGUCCUCCGGUCUCCGCCU
rnacentral:lncRNA from 1 species